UGGGGAAUUUUGGACAAUGGGCGAAAGCCUGAUCCAGCAAUGCCGCGUGUGUGAAGAAGGCCUUCGGGUUGUAAAGCACUUUUGUCCGGAAAGAAAUCCUUGGCUCUAAUACAGUCGGGGGAUGACGGUACCGGAAGAAUAAGCACCGGCUAACUACGUGCCAGCAGCCGCGGUAAUACGCAGGGUGCAAGCGUUAAUCGGAAUUACUGGGCGUAAAGCGUGCGCAGGCGGUUUGCUAAGACCGAUGUGAAAUCCCCGGGCUCAACCUGGGAACUGCAUUGGUGACUGGCAGGCUAGAGUAUGGCAGAGGGGGGUAGAAUUCCACGUGUAGCAGUGAAAUGCGUAGAGAUGUGGAGGAAUACCGAUGGCGAAGGCAGCCCCCUGGGCCAAUACUGACGCUCAUGCACGAAAGCGUGGGGAGCAAACAGGAUUAGAUACCCUGGUAGUCCACGCCCUAAACGAUGUCAACUAGUUGUUGGGGAUUCAUUUCCUUAGUAACGUAGCUAACGCGUGAAGUUGACCGCCUGGGGAGUACGGUCGCAAGAUUAAAACUCAAAGGAAUUGACGGGGUCAUAGCUGUUUCCU
rnacentral:rRNA from 1 species